UAAACUUUGAAAACAAAUCUUAUUAAUAGGAAAACAAGACAGAAAUAGUUUAAGAUUUUUUUUUUUUUCUUCAUAUAAUGUGACAGUUUCUUUGGCACCCUACACACAGGAAAAAACAAACACAAACUGCUUUUGUUCUUUGUAUAAUACGCUUCUUUAUGCAGUGUGCCAAUGCGUCAUCUUUUCCUCUGAUCCAUGAGAACAAUCAAUGCCUUAAAUUCAUGUACGCACCAAAGUAGAUGAAAAUAGUUUUGCAGUUGAGGACAAGGGCUAAGAAACCAGUUUUGGUGGGAGUUGCUCUUAUAUAUAUUGUGGAUUUUUGGAUCUCUUGUGGUUUCAUUGUGCUAACUUAGUUCUGGGUCUGGGUUAACAAAGCCGUGCAUUGAUUUGUCCUAAUGGGAAUCUUCUAUUAGUUAAGAAAAGAGUGUCGCCAUCCCGCCUCUAUUACAGUGCAAUCGACUCCAAAGGCUCCCUCUCAGUCUCUUUGAUGGGUAUUAGCAUUUUGUUCGAUGCUUCAUGUCGGUUAAAUUAUUGAUGCGUUACGCAUUAGACACUCUACACAAUUAAGGCUUACUUUUCCUGUGAGUAUUUGCUCUGUAUAUGUCAUCUAGCUGAACCAUAUUUAAACUUUUGUGUUAUCUGCAACCCAUUCAUGCUUUUUAAUAUAUACUGUUACAAAAUACAAAAUGCCAUAGAAUAUGGUUUCUGUUACUGUACUUAGAAAAGUAAGCUUUUGAAAGGCAUUCAUGCCUCACACACUUCCACCUGUACUUAUGUCCGUGAGUGUUAGUAAACUGGCAUCUAAACUGCAAAACAAGUUGUCAAAAACUAAGUGAGGAGAUGUGGAACACUGCUGGAAGGGUAUCAAAUUUUUAUAGCUCUAAUGGCCUUGCAGAUGUGAAAAGACUGAAAGCCUUGCAAACAAGUACAAGUCUGAUGCGUGAAAGUCCCUAGAGUUCCCUACCAGUCUGAAAAAAAAUCUGAGUUGUUCAAGGUGGUUUUCCAUCCUAAUCCUGUAGUAUUGUUCAAAAGACACAGUAGGGUUGCACUAUAAAUAGUAUUUUAUUUGUGAUCACGAUUAUUGUUUCUGUCAAUUAAUUAAGCUCCUGUGUCUGCAAUAUAACCUACUGGUUAUUUAUCAUACUUUUUAUUUGUUUUAUUUAUUUAUUUAUUUAUUUGCUUGCAUUAUCUUGCAUGUGUAACAAGCCUCCAUAAGCUUUCAUGCUUGGGGUUGCCAGAUGUCAAAAGCUUAAAUCCCCCAAAUAAGAGAUUUUCUUUUAAAGGGACACAUUUUCUGCCCAGUAUAAUACUUUUUGGUGAUGAACUGUAAUAAAUCCAAACAUGGAUCACAACAGUAAUGUUUGCGAUUUUGGUUGCUGAAUAGAUGCACUUAAGCAACCUCCAUGCCACAGUACAAAAUCAGUUUUUAUAUGAUAGGGUAAAUAUACAGUAAUAAAUCAAAUAGAUGAGGCAAAUUAAACCAUGUAUAUGAGCUGAUGUUUUCUUGCGAAAGUGUGAUAAUCCCAAUUAGAGGUAAAAAGUAAUUCCUCAAAAUACAAGUAUGGCGUUAAAACAGCACAGAGAAACAAUAUUAUUGUAAUCACUUUCUAAAAGAUUUUAUUUAUUUUUUUCAGCUGAUGAAUGAUAAAAACACUGACACCCAAUUAGAAUCCAUCCUGUUUUUACAGUGUUCAAGCAUUUAAAAGGACAGACGACAAAACUGCUCAAGCUUAUAAUAAACAUAACAAUAUUGUGCAUUGGUGUGGGCGCUAAUAUAGUUGUUGUUUAUAGUUAUCUUCGUAGUUCUCGCUCUUGGUAUGAACGGACCUUAAUAAUCGAGAGCAUACAUUUUGAGCAAAAUAUAAGUGAUCUGUUCAGUGUUAUUUCACAGAAUAUUAGUGAUCAGUUUAACCAUUAUCGUGCAGCCACAUGAUGAUAUUGGAUUACUAGUAUAUUGGUGAUCAUAUCUCACGCUGAUACCCAUCUAACACGCACUGUAUUCUGAAUUUCUCAUUUGUACCCUCAAUGAGACAAGAGGCGAGUCACUUCGGGGGUGACCUUUUAAUGCAGAGGUUCGCUGCCAAGGAAUAGUGCCUUCACUGGACAAUAUGUUCCUGGCUCUGUCAUGGCAGUAUCAGGCUGUAGAGUCCAUAUUUUGCACUUGUUCUUCUCAACGUCAGAAGAAAGCACAAGGUAGUGAACCAAGGUGACAUAGCCUUCCUGCAAAGUCUCCAGAACAGGUGCAGCACAGCCCAUAAAGACAUGUUAAAAACAUUAGCGAAGAAGAUAAAAAAGAGGCAGCAGAGUCCCAAUCAGGACAGCCUAUCUGUACUCCUUCAAGCAUUCAUAAAGGUCUGGGAACCUUGAUUAGGCUGCAGUGGCCCAGUCAAUGGGAUAUCGAUUUUUCUGCUCUAUAUUGCGACUUUCAGAAUGCAGACUCUUGAUUGACUGAUGUCUGUGUUCCUGUCAGCCGUCUUGUGUGGAGUUUGUGCUUCGAGUGUCUGAGAUGUCCUUGCCCUUCUCCCAUUCAGAGAGUUUGAGUUUUAGCAGAAAGAUGCAGAAAACAAAGAGAAGUUUCUUGAAGAAGAAUAAGUUACAUUUUGCAAUCCUAAGCAGUAGUCGAAGCAGGAGAAAAACACAGAAACAACAUUUCAGGAUAUGCAGACGUACACUACAGUUCAAAGGUCUGGGGUUGGCUCGAUUUUUUAUUUUAUUUUUAUUUUUCAUUGGAAGAAGUCUCUAAUAUUCACCAAGUCUGCGUUUAUUUGAUCAAGAAGUAAAAACUGUAAUAUUGUGAAACAGUAUUUAAAAUAACUGUUUUCUGUUUUAAUUUUAAAAUGAAAUGUAUUGCUGGGAUGCAAAGCUGAAUUUUUAGCAUCAUUAUAUGCUGAAUAUUUAUACCAUGAUUCAUUGAUAAAAAGAAAUUAUUUUAUGAAUACAAAGUUCAAAAGAACAGCAUUUAUUAGAGAAAUCAUUUGUAACAUAAAUGCUUUGAUCAAUUUAAUGCAUUCUUGCUGAAUAAAAAAAUAAUACUAAAUUCCAUAAAAUCCCUAUGUUACAUCAAAGAAGUAAAGUGGGUUGCAAACACAACUUUAGAGCCUCUAUUAGUUCUAAGUUUAUUUUAUGGUGUUCUUUAUAGUUCUAUAGUUGAGUUUGUCUCUUUGAAAUUACAACUUAUUUAUAGUUCAUCUAUUAUUUUGAGACAUUUUUUUUCAGCAUAGGAAAAUGAAAGUAGACAUUUGAUAUGUAAUAUAACUAUAUCAUAUUACAGUAAUUACAAAGUUAGUGCUGCUUCUCACACCCCUUGAUACUAAUGGUAUGUUCGUUUUUCCAUGCGCUGCUUUUCCUCCUGCUCUUGGUUUGUUCCAAUGUGCCCCGACCCUCAGUUACAAUAUCUGCGUAAUGAUGCAUAUAAACACUGAAACAAUAAUUGUUGUUUAAUAGCAAUGAUUUCUUUGGUACUCUUAAAAUUGUGAAGUCUAAUUUGCCUAAUUUUGUGUACACCGUAUAAUUAGCGAGUUUCAUUUCUACACAUUAUGGUUUCCCUUUGGCAAAACUUUGAUAUGAUAUAAAACUCUGAGCUGUUAAUAACAGAUCUUAUCGCUACAAUCCAAUUAUGUUUUUAAGUAAUCUGAAAUGAAAAACGACAAUACCUUGGCCAGAUGUAAAUAGUGGCUAUAUAUUUUUAGAGUCGGCCAGCAUUGAUAACCUGACGUUUUCUACUGCACACGGCCCUGAGAAUUUAAUACUGAUGUAUUAAUGAAUAAUCUCUGUGAGAUGACUUACAUAUAACAUGACAUUUUCAUAUUGAAAAGUAACUGUUUUGUCUUGUAUACUAAAACUGUGCAUGUGGAAAAAUGUUUAGUGCAUAUGUGUUGAAUUUUAUAAUCCUGUUAAAAACGUAAUAAAAAUGUCAAAAGCC
ensembl:lncRNA